rnacentral:rRNA from 1 species
GACAGAGGUGCCAAGCGUUAGGCGGAAUCACUGGGCUUAAAGCGUGUGUAGGCGGAUUUGUAAGUACCUUGUGAAAUCCCACGGCUCAACCGUGGAACUGCUCGGUAUACUGCUUAUCUUGAGCCACUUAGGGGCUACCGGAACAAAUGGUGGAGCGGUGAAAUGCGUAGAUAUUGGGAAGAACACCGGUGGCGAAGGCGGCUCUCUGGACCGAGACUGACGCUGAGGCGCGAAAGCGUGGGGAGCAAACAGG